GGCCGAUUAGCUCAGUGGUUUGAGUGUGGUGCUGACAACACUGAGAUCGUGGGUUCGAUUCCUGCUCGGUCU
rnacentral:tRNA from 1 species